UACGAGGGGGGCGAGCGUUGUUCAGAAUUAUUGGGCGUAAAGGGUGCGUAGGCGGUUUGGUAAGUCUGAUGUGAAAUCUAUGGGCUCAACUCAUAGUCUGCAUCGGAAACUGCCGGGCUUGAGUGUGGGAGAGGUGAGUGGAAUUCCUGGUGUAGCGGUGAAAUGCGUAGAUAUCAGGAGGAACACCUGUGGCGAAAGCGGCUCACUGGACCAUAACUGACGCUGGAUGCACGAAAGCUAGGGGAGCAAACAGG
rnacentral:rRNA from 1 species